GACGAACGCUGGCGGCGUGCUUAACACAUGCAAGUCGAACGGAAAGGCCCUGCUUUUGUGGGGUGCUCGAGUGGCGAACGGGUGAGUAACACGUGAGUAACCUGCCCUUGACUUUGGGAUAACUUCAGGAAACUGGGGCUAAUACCGGAUAGGAGCUCCUGCUGCAUGGUGGGGGUUGGAAAGUUUCGGCGGUUGGGGAUGGACUCGCGGCUUAUCAGCUCGUUGGUGGGGUAGUGGCUUACCAAGGCUUUGACGGGUAGCCGGCCUGAGAGGGUGACCGGCCACAUUGGGACUGAGAUACGGCCCAGACUCCUACGGGAGGCAGCAGUGGGGAAUAUUGCACAAUGGGCGGAAGCCUGAUGAAGCAACGCCGCGUGCGGGAUGACGGCCUUCGGGUUGUAAACCGCUUUCGCCUGUGACGAAGCGUGAGUGACGGUAAUGGGUAAAGAAGCACCGGCUAACUACGUG
rnacentral:rRNA from 1 species